rnacentral:rRNA from 1 species
UACGUAGGGGGCAAGCGUUGUCCGGAAUCAUUGGGCGUAAAGCGCGUGUAGGCGGCUCGGUAAGUCCGCUCUGAAAGUCCAGGGCUCAACCCUGGGAUGCGGGUGGAUACUGCCGGGCUCGAGUCCGGAAGAGGCGAGUGGAAUUCCCGGUGUAGCGGUGAAAUGCGCAGAGUAUCGGGAGGAACACCAAUGGCGAAGGCAGCUCGCUGGGACGUGACUGACGCUGAGACGCGAAAGCGUGGGGAGCAAACAGG